UUCUUUUCAGACUGCCUGAAGUUACAUUGUAGAUGCUGAAAUCACUGCACCUUAAAAACAAAAAGAUUAAGCCGCACUGCAUUCCUAAUGUUGGCAUUUUUGGACUGUGCAUCUGUUUAGGCACGUGGAGAAAGACAAGACUGAGAUCAUAGAGAACUCAAAAAGCCCAUCGGCGCAGGGCGAGCUUCGCAGCCAAGCCCUGCCACUCUCCAGAGACUGUGAGGUGAUUCUCCUUCGUCACCGCUUGGACCAGGAACCACAGCCCUGGUGAGUGGUGAGCUCCCAGAAUUUGAUGUGUCAAGGCUUCUAUUCUCGGGGCUGCUGCGGCAAAGCAGGAAAUAAA
rnacentral:lncRNA from 14 species